GAAGUCGAGCGAACAGAUAAGGAGCUUGCUCCUUUGACGUUAGCGGCGGACGGGUGAGUAACACGUGGAUAACCUACCUAUAAGACUGGGAUAACUUCGGGAAACCGGAGCUAAUACCGGAUAACAUAUUGAACCGCAUGGUUCAAUAGUGAAAGGCGGCUUUGCUGUCACUUAUAGAUGGAUCCGCGCCGUAUUAGCUAGUUGGUAAGGUAACGGCUUACCAAGGCAACGAUACGUAGCCGACCUGAGAGGGUGAUCGGCCACACUGGAACUGAGACACGGUCCAGACUCCUACGGGAGGCAGCAGUAGGGAAUCUUCCGCAAUGGGCGAAAGCCUGACGGAGCAACGCCGCGUGAGUGAUGAAGGUCUUCGGAUCGUAAAACUCUGUUAUCAGGGAAGAACAAAUGUGUAAGUAACUGUGCACAUCUUGACGGUACCUGAUCAGAAAGCCACGGCUAACUACGUGCCAGCAGCCGCGGUAAUACGUAGGUGGCAAGCGUUAUCCGGAAUUAUUGGGCGUAAAGCGCGCGUAGGCGGUUUUUUAAGUCUGAUGUGAAAGCCCACGGCUCAACCGUGGAGGGUCAUUGGAAACUGGAAAACUUGAGUGCAGAAGAGGAAAGUGGAAUUCCAUGUGUAGCGGUGAAAUGCGCAGAGAUAUGGAGGAACACCAGUGGCGAAGGCGACUUUCUGGUCUGUAACUGACGCUGAUGUGCGAAAGCGUGGGGAUCAAACAGGAUUAGAUACCCUGGUAGUCCACGCCGUAAACGAUGAGUGCUAAGUGUUAGGGGGUUUCCGCCCCUUAGUGCUGCAGCUAACGCAUUAAGCACUCCGCCUGGGGAGUACGACCGCAAGGUUGAAACUCAAAGGAAUUGACGGGGACCCGCACAAGCGGUGGAGCAUGUGGUUUAAUUCGAAGCAACGCGAAGAACCUUACCAAAUCUUGACAUCCUUUGACCGCUCUAGAGAUAGAGUUUUCCCCUUCGGGGGACAAAGUGACAGGUGGUGCAUGGUUGUCGUCAGCUCGUGUCGUGAGAUGUUGGGUUAAGUCCCGCAACGAGCGCAACCCUUAAGCUUAGUUGCCAUCAUUAAGUUGGGCACUCUAAGUUGACUGCCGGUGAC
rnacentral:rRNA from 1 species